rnacentral:tRNA from 1 species
GUGGGUGCAGCUCAGUCGAUAGAGCAAUGGAUUGUGACUCCAGUUGUCGAGGGUUCGAUCGCCUUGACUUACC